UCUGUAACUUUUCUGUUUAUGUCAUUUUGUUUCUUUUCUUUUCUUUUAUUAUUUUUUUCUGAUACAGGGUCUCACUGUAUCCAGGCAGGGUGCAGUGGCACGACCUUGGCUUACUGAAACCUCUACCGUGGGCUCAAGUGCUUCUCUCACCUCAGCCUUCUAUGCAUGCACCAACAUGCCCAGGAAAAUCCUUCAUUGCUUCUUAAUGACCUGUUUGGCUGCCCUGGAAAGAUACACCUGGAAAUCAUCAGUCCGCAAUGUAUUCUGAGGUCGGCAGUAGGAUUCUGUUCUGUUCUAGCUUCAUGACUUGUAGGGAUUUUUUCAAGUGGAAAAAGUGCAAGUGAAACCAACCACGAAUACUUCAUUAUUACACACGAGUGACUUGCUGCUUUUCUUCCAGAAGCUCCUCUACUGACUGCAGCACUCUACCUCCCCAAAUCCCUUUGCUUUCCACUUCCAAAGGAACGAUCUUAGAUUUGCUUUAUACUCUGCACCCCGAGAAUUACCGUUUAACAUGAGCUACAGCCCCAAUCUCAAAAUGUCUCAGAUACUUAUAGUCUUGAGAAAACCAGUUCAUACAUAUGUAAUUAAAACAUAGAUGUAUACAUGCGGAUGAGGUGAAAAGGAUCCUAAGGCAGUACACAUUAAUAUUAAUGUGUGAUACAUGCUCUGGUAAGUGCGUGUCUCCCGCCAACUCCCCACGAAGGGAGGAUGAUGGCAUUGUCAUUUUCAUUUGCUUGGAAUAAAGUAGGAGCUUAGAGCUUGGUCGAUGUUAAUUGAACAGAUGAAAUAAUAGGUAGUGUGGGAAUUUAGAGAGAGUGAAAUUCAUGUGAUUAAUAAAGGUCAGAGGAUAUUUCCCAGAGCUGGGAUUGUGCUAGUCCUGAGGAUUUGGAGAGAUUAAAAAUGGAAGGGUGGGCCUGCCGGGUUCAAGCCUUAAGGGUUGGCUUUCUGGGAAUCAACUUUCUCUGCUCUCACACAUUACUUCAAGUUGUCUGGGAGGGCAUAGCAAAGCUACAAACAUUAUGUAGAUUGCCCUAAAUCAUUCUUAUUCAAAUGCUCUUGGAGCCUAGUAGGUUUUCAGUUACAUGAAAAUCAAUGCUCUGGGAGCCACUUCCUGACUGACUCUGUACUGCUGGAACCCAUUUUCCCCAGGACAUUAGCUCCAUGAGAGCCUAAGGUGCUCAUCAAGGGAAAAAUUCUUAGCAAUUAUAUCCCUUAAGUCUCAGCACAAACCUGGGCCUGACCUCUCCUCUCAGAGCCAAGUCUAGCAACAGGCACAAAACAGCAGGAAGUUCUCUGAUCAUGCAGAAAAGUGACAUUGCUGACCCUGAGUGAGCUGACCCUUCAAGUCAGCACUGACACAAAGAUGUCAUGGGGCAGGGUGUGGUGGCUCACGUCUGUAAUCCCAGCACUUUGGGUGGCUGAGGUUGGUGGAUCACGAGGUCAGGAGAUCGAGACCAUCCUGGCUAACGCAGUGAAACCCCAUCUCUACUAAAAAUACAAAAAACUAGCUGGGUGUGGUGGCACAUGCCUGUAAUCCCAGCUACUUGGGAGGCUGAGACAGGAGAAUCACAUUAACCCGGGAGGUGGAGAUUGCAGUGAGCCAAGAUCACGCCAUAGUACUCCAGCCUGGGUGACAGAGCAAGACUCUGUCUCUAAAAACAAAAAAGAAAAGAAAAUGGAUCAAAAAUGGACCUGAACCUGCAACCUCAGUCAGAGAUGCCUGGAUCCGUCUGGUGCAUUCCCUGGGACAUGAGGGCACUAGCACAAGGAGGAAGGUGGCAGUGCCUGUGCAGCAGGUGUAUCCUGCAGCAAUAACAAGCACACCUGAGAAGGACCCUAUGGUCUAAGAAGAACGUGUGUUCAGGGUUCCAAGCUAAGGAAGCUUAAGUAUCUGAGAUGGUCUCAGUUAAUUUAAAAAGUUUAUUCUGCCAAGGUUGAGAAUGUGCACUCGUGACAG
rnacentral:lncRNA from 1 species